rnacentral:siRNA from 1 species
GGGCCCUAUAUUAGAUUAUCUUU